rnacentral:lncRNA from 1 species
CGGGCCUUGGUAUGACCUCCUAUAUAAUUGCCCACCCAUGAUGCAGUAGCGAGCCACAAUGGUGCGUAGUGCCCGGGAUGCCUUCAGGUCUCCGGGAAACUUGCCAUACCGGAGAUAUUCGAAGAUCUCAUUGCUCCAGUCCUAGACUAGGUUGGUUGUAUUUACCUCAGAGUAGCCGUCCACAUCUAGUGCCAAAUGCAUAAGGUAAACGACAGUACCAGAGUUAGAUCCUUUCAUCUCCAUAGACGAACCCAAAUUAGCCAAUGCAUCUGCUUCCAUGUUCUCUUCUCUCAGAAUGUGUGUGAUCGACCACUCCCUGAAUCGUGCAAGCAAUGCCUGAACUUUAUUCACAUAUUGUUGCAUACAUUCCUCUAUUGUGUCGAAAAUCUCGUACACUUGGUUUACUACCAGCUAGGAAUCACAUUUGAUCUCUAUGACCUUGGAGCUAAGUCUCCAGGCCAGUUCGAGCCCUGCAACCAAAGCCUCAUACUCGGCUUCAUUGUUAGUUAACAGAACAAUUUUAAUAGCCUGCCUCAGGAUUUCCCCCGAGGGCGUGAUUAGAACCACCAUGAGCCCGGACCCUUUCACAUUAGAAGCUCCGUCUAUGAACAAGGUCCAAACUAUUGAUGUCGUUUCCGACACUAACACCACUUCUUUAGCAGCCAGGGGCAUUAACCCGGGACUGAAAUCAGCCAUAAAGUCGGCCAAACCUUGUGAUUUGAUCUCAGUCCUAGGUUGUAUCCAAUAUCAAACUCACUAAUUUCGACUACCCACUUGGACAACCGGCCUGACAACUCAGGCUUGUGAAGAACAUUCCGCAAGGGGAAGGUUGUCAUAACAGCUAUUGGGUGGCACUGAAAGCAAGGCCUAAUCUUUGGAGAGGUGACUAUGAGAGCUAAUUCCAUCUUUUUGAGGUGCGGAUAAUGAGUCUCUGCUCAUGACAAAAUUUUAGUAACAUAAUAGACAUGAAAUUGCAUACUUAGUCCUCCCGAACUAGAACGACACUUACUACUACUUCCGAGGCUGUUAGAUACAUUAGGAAUUGUUCACCUUCCCCCGAUUUUGAUAGUAGCGGGGAGCUUGAUAGAUAACAUUCAGGUCUUUCAAGGCUUGCUGACAUUCCGAAGUCCAUUCGAAAUUGUUCUUCUUCUACGGGAAGCGAGAAGAAGUGAUGACACUUUUCUGAGGAUCGAGAGAUAAACCUGCGUCCAAUAUUUAGGUUAAUCUCUGUACUUCUUUUACGCUCGUUAGUUGGUUCGGGAUAUCUUCGAUGGCUUUGAUUUUAUUAGGAUUUACCUUGAUCCCUCUCUGCGAGACCAAUAAACCCAAGAAUUUGCCGGAGCCAACCCCGAACGCACAUUUUCCGGGUUGAGCUUCAUGUUAUGCUUCCUCAAGAUAUCGAAGGUCUCUUGGAGGUGCUUUAAAUGAUUGCCUGCAUUCAAAGACUUGACUAACAUAUCAUCUAUACACACUUCCAUUAUUUUGCCUAUUUGCUUCUCGAACAUCUUGUUCACGAGCCUCUGAUAAGUUGCUCUGGUGUUUUAAGCCCAAAUGGCAUCACGUUAUAAUAAUAUGUCCCAAAGUUUGUUAUAAACGAAAUUUUUUCAUAAUCCUCCGGGUUCAUCUUGAUUUGAUUGUACCCGGAAUAAGCAUCGAGGAAACUCAUUAACUCGUACCCGGCCAUUGCAUCAAUCAUUUGAUCAAUGUUUGGCAAUGGGAACGAAUUUUUAGGGCACGCCUUAUUCAAGUCUUUAUAAUCUACGCACAUUCUAAACUUGUCAUUCUUCUUUGGAACUACAACUACAUUAGAUAACCAUUUGGGAUACUUUACCUUCCGUAUUAAACCGAUGUCGAGUAGUUGUGUUACCUCUUCUUUAACAAACCUGUUUCUGACCUUGGCUAUUGGGCAUUUCUUUUGCCUUACCGGAGGAAAGCUCGGGUUCGGGCUUAGCGGUGUACGACCACCUCUAGUGGGAUACUUGUCAUAUCCGAGUGCUACCAUGCAAAACAAUUAACGUUAGCUUUAAGGAAUUUAAUAAAUCCCGAAUGAGUUCGGGAUUGAGUCUUGUUCCCCAAGUAAAACUUCCUUUCCAAGAAUUCUUCGAAUAAAGCCACUUGCUCAAGUUCUUUUUUCGUGGAUUUGGUUAUGUCUGUCUCUUUCGGUAACUGAAAGUAUCUCGGUACCAGGUGGGAUUCCGACGACUCCUCGCUUUUAUCAUAUUCACUUGACACGGGAGCAAGCGUCGGUUCCUAUAAUUACUAUUUACUGGGAUCCUUCCCUUUACUGCUGAAAAUCGAUAAUGCAUUCAUCUCUCUUAUUGCCGGUUGAUCUCCUCUUAUCUGCUUGAUUCCUUCCGGGGUCGGGAAUUUUAGUAGUUGGUGAUAUGUUUAUUACACCUUGUGCGUCCCAAGGUGAUGUAAUAAAUAUGAGACUUGUUAAUCAUGAUUUAAAUGAGUUUAAAGUCAUAAUAUGGCUAUAUAUGAUGUUUCGAUAGAAAAUAUAAAGUUUGGGGAAAAUCGGAUUAAAGUUGCGGAAAACAGACUAAGGAUUUGCCUUGUAACAGAGCUUUUUGAGCAAUAGAUUCCAUGUGCUUUAUGGGGUCUUUUUGGGACAUACUAUAUACCAAAUGGAAUAUCUACGAGUCUAGUUUCCAACUUAUUAAAUCGUUCAUCUAUACGACAUCGGAGUAGAGAGAUAUACGUAUUUUCGCGAGACUGCGCAAGCAGCUCGGUUGGGACCCACUUGAGAUGGCCACCGACCUUACGUCUUUAAAAGAUGUUUCAGCCUCAUUUCGGGUCAUUUCUCGUCCAAAUUUUGUCCAAAAGCUUUCCAAAACCCUUUCUAACGUAUUUCAAAAUCCCAAGAACCAAACUCAAGGGAAAUCAACUCAAAUCAUCAUCAAAGUUGUUAAAGACUACAAGAGAAUGCUUCUAUGAUGUUGUGGUGUGAUUGAGGGCUAUUGUGAGCUAAGUUGAGAUAGGGUGUCGAGUUGUAGCUGCUGUCCAAGGUAUGUAUAACAUCUUCUUGAUUGUGCCUAAGGUUAAUCUUGUGUUGGUUGUAUUGUUUCAGUGAAAAACCAUAAGAUAACACUUGAAUGAACAUGGGAUAUGGUUGUCUUUUUGGUUGGACUGUUUUAUGGCUAAAUAUAUGGUUUGUGGUGGCUUAAAAUUGUGAGAAAUAAUUUGAUAAUGUUGUGGCUGUUGUUGUUAAGUUUUUCUAGGUGUUAAUUAAGUUGAUUGAAUAAGAAAAGAUGAAAAAUAAGUGAUUGACGAUAAAAAUUAAGGUGUUAGAUGUAUGGGGUUAUUUUGGAAGGCAUUUUGUGGAUGUUUUGAACUAGAAAUAAUAUAGUACAUAUAAGUAUGAUGUUCUGAAGGUUGUAAACCUAUUUAUGGAAUAAGCAGGUUAUAUUUUGUUAUGAGUAAAAACAAGCUUGCCUCUCAAUAUGAUUGUUAAGAUAAUCCGGAGAAACUUAUAUUGGAUUAUAUUAUUGUUGUUGCUAUUAUUGGUUAUAGUUGUUGUUGUUGGGAUGUUGAUGACAAUUAGUGAUCUUUUGGAUGUAUUAAAAAUAGGGGACUUGCUGCCCGACUUUCCUUAAGCCAUACGACUAGCCAAAUACGAUUGUACGACAUUAUAUGUUAACGGCAAUAUCAUUUCACUUGUUGUAGAUGCAAGAAGUUGUGUUGAGCUUGGUUGAGUAAUAAGUAAGAGAUCAUACAGGUAUGUUAAGGCUAUCCCUUCUUUUAAUUUGGUUUGAUCCAUAUGAUACAACGAAACGAGCAAGCACGCCACUUUCACAAAUGAUUCUAUUCUUAGAAGUACUAGGGUUGCCUAUGUUCUUGAUUCCCCAUAUGUCCUAUUAUUAUAUCGUCUGUUCAUGUGUCUCAUGACAUUUCGAGAGAUCGUAUUGACUUACUUUAUUAUGCAUUGCAUUCAUUUACACAUUUAUAUUGACCUAUGACCAUAUGUCGUUAUAUAUUCGUAUAUUAUAUGUAUAUGGGGUAUGGGGAAAGGUUAUGGCGUUAUAUACACACCACUAUCUAAUCAGCUGGUAUACGUUCAUGAUUUUGCCCACAGAGGCCGAGAUGAUAUGAUGGGAUUCCCUCAGAGGCCUGAUGAUGUUAUGUACGCAUAUAUCUAUGCAUGAUAUGACAUUUAUACACAUACGCAUGACAUUAUAAAUAUUUUCAUGAUUCACAUAGCUAUUCAGACUUACAUGUUGAGUUCUUUACUCCAUGUUUCUUUCAUGCCUUUUAUAUAUUGAUUUUUAUGCCUUACAUACUCGGUACAUUAUUCGUACUAACAACCCUAUUGCCUGGGGGCCUGCGUUUCAUGCCCGAUGGUGCAGGUAGAUAGGCUGACGGUCCCCCUCCUUAGGAUCCUAGCUCAGCGAGAGUUGGUGUGCUCCAUUUGAUCCGGAGUUGCUAUUGGGUUUUGGUACAAUACGUUUGUAUACAUAUAAGGGUAUGAUGGGGCCCAGUCCCGUCCUUUAUACAGUUUUAUACUCUAUUAGAGAUCUGUAAACAAUCAUCUAUAGUUGGAUAGUAUGUGGCCUUGUCGGCUCACCCUACUGUAUUCCGCAUGUAUAUGUAUAUGUCUUUUGAAUAUGUCUCCUAACGUAAGCUAUUCACAUGAUUCAGCAGUUUAGGGGCAGAUGUUGUGCAUGACCUACACUCAUUUCAUGUUUAUAUCUUAAACGUAUGCUUAGGGGUGUUCGAUAGGUAGAACUCAGGCACUCGUCAAAGUCUAUUGGUUUGGGUCGUGACAAAAGUGGUAUCAGAGCAGUUCCAUCAUAGGGUUGUCUACAAACCGUGUCUAGUAAAGUCUUGUUUAUGAGUGUGUUAUGCACCGCACUUAUAAACAAGAGACUGAAGGACAUAUAGGAUGUUACCCUCCCUUUUUAUCUUAGAUUGUGCGAUAUAAGAAUUCAUUUUUCUAACGUUAUAUUAUGUUUUCAGCGAUGCCCCAGUAGGCUACAGCCGCCCAGAAGGGCAAGUCCGUGGAUGAUGAGACCACAAGUGGAGCGCCACGAGUUACCAGGUCUCGGGGAGAGUCAUAUAGUGAGACUCCAUCUCAAACUUCACAUACCCUACCCUCUCCGAAGGAGAUCCGAGGGGCACCAGCUCCAGUGUCAUCCCCAGUACCCUCAGUUCCUCAGCUAGAUGCACAUGGUCUGGAGAUGAGAAAUGCUAUUCAGCUAUUGACUCGAUUAGUUGCCGCACAGGCUCGAUGCCAGGAGGUAGGUAUCAGUCAUGCAGAUAGGGCCAUCAGUGCGAGGGUUCACGAUUUCAUUUAUUUGGACCCUUCCGUAUUCACUGGAGGAGAUCCAAAUGAGGACCCUCAGGUAUUUAUUGAUAGGAUGCAAAGAACUUUGAGGGUAAUAAAGGCCACUACGACUGAGUUAGUUGAACUAGAUUCUUAUAGACUUCGGGAUGUUGCAGUUAAUUGGUACGAGUCUUGGGAGUUGUCCAGAAGUAUGGCAAGAGUUUGCAGAGGCUUUGUUUUGUCAUUAUUUGCCACCAGAGCUUAGAAAGGACAGAGUUGAUAGGUUCUUGACCCUUCGGCAUGGUAAUAUAAGUGUUCAGGAGUACAACCUUCAGUUUGAUUCUUUGGCUAGGUAUGCUCCCACUAUUGUAGCUAAGAUGGAGGAUCGGGUUCACCGAUUCGUGAUGGGGUUGGAGCCGCACCUGCUUAAUGACUGUAUGUCGGUCUCACUUCAGCCAGGCAUAAAUAUUUCUCAUAUUCAGGCAUACGCUCAGGGUGUAGAGGAGCAUAAGCAGAAGCAGAGGGCCAAUCGUGAGCAUGAUAGGGGCUAGAGUAAGAGAGCGAGAUAUUCAGGUCCUUCCAAUGAGUUUCGAGGUGAUUAGCAAUAACAGUACCCCAUGUAUCCAGCCUAGCCAUCGGCUAGUGCACCCCCUCAGUUUGUCGGUAGGAGAUUUGAUCGUUCUACAUAUUCAGGGCCCAGUCAGAGUUCCAGGGCCUCUAGUUCACAGUAUAGGGGUGAGUUAAGUCAGAUGAGGCACCCUUGCCACGAUGUGCUCAGUGUGGUAAGUAGCAUUUCGGGCAGUGCCUUGUAGGGUUGGGUGUUUGUUAUACUUGUGGUCAUCCAGGCCACGUUAUGAGAGAUUGUCCGACGAGAGGUAGUGAAGGUAUAGUUAAGUCAGAGAGAUCUUUAGCCAGUUUGUCAUCAUCAGUAUGCCCCCUGGGCAAGGUUCAUAAGCACCAGCUGGUCGUGGUAGAGACUGAAGUGGAGCAUCUAGCUCGAGCGGUCCUCAAAACAGUAUUUAUGCAUUAGCGGGUCGACAGGAUCAAGAGUCAUCACCUGAUGUUGUUACAGGCAUAUUAUCAGUCUCCUCAUAUGAUGCAUAUGCAUUGAUUGAUCCAGGUUCCACCUUAUCGUACAUCACACUGUUGGUUACUAGUAAGUUUGGGAUAGAACCUGAGUUGAUUGAACCUUUUGAGGUGUCUACACCUGUUGGGGAUCUAGUGAUAGCUAAACGGGUAUAUAAAGACUGUGUAGUAAUAGUUCGUAGUCGUUCUACAGUAGCAGACCUGGUUGAGUUAGAUAUGGUGGAAUUUGAUGUUAUAAUGGGUAUGGAUUGGUUGGCUUCUUGUUAUGCUAAUGUUGAUUGUAGAUCAAAGAUGGUUCGGUUCCAGUUUCCAGGAAAGUCAAUUCUGGAGUGGAAAGGUAAUACUGCAUCGCCAAGAGGUAGGUUUAUUUCCUAUCUCAAGGCAAGGAAGAUGGUCAGAAAGGGUUAUAUUUACCACUUAGUUCGGGUACAAGAUGAGAAAGCAAAGUCACCGACCCUUCAGUCUAUCCCGAUGGUUAAUGAGUUUCCCAAUGUUUUUUCCGAUGAGCUUCUAGGCCUUCUGCCAGAGCGCAGGAUUGAGUUUGCUAUUGACACAUUACCAGAUACCCAGUCGAUAUCUAUUCCUCCGUAAAGAAUGGCACUUGCAGAGCUGAGAGAAUUGAAAGAACAACUUAGGGAUUUUCUAGAAAAGGCUUUAUCAGACCCGGUACAUCACCGUGGGGAGCACCUGUGUUAUUUGUAAGAAAGAAAGAUGGUUCCUUGCGGAUGUGUAUUGAUUACAGGCAGUUGAAUAAGGCGACAAUCAAGAAUAAGUACCAGCUCCCGAGAAUUGAUGAUUUAUUUGAUCAGUUGCAGGGUGCCAAGUAUUUUUCGAAGAUAUACUUGAGGUGUGGCUACCAUCAGGUAAGGGUUAAAGAGAAAGAUAUCCCGAAGACAACAUUCAGGACCAGAUACAGGCACUUUGAGUUUUGAGUUAUGUCAUUCGGGUUGACCAAUACCCCAGCAAUAUUCACGGACUUGAUGAAUUGUGUGUUCAUCCCUUUCUAGAUCAAUCUGUGAUUGUAUUUAUAGAUGAUAUUUUGAUUUACUCUCAUUCAGAGGCUGAGCAUGCAGAUCAUUUAUGUACUGUACUCAGAGUUCUACAAGAAAGGAAGUUCUAUGCAAAAUUUUCUAAAUGUGAAUUCUGGUUGAAUUCUGUAGCCUUCCUUGGUCAUAUUAUUUAAGGUGAGGGUAUCCGGGUUGAUACAUAGAAGAUUGAGGCAGUGAAGACUUGGCCUAGACCCACGACACUGACGGAGGUUUGUAGUUUCCUAGGUUUGGCAGGUUAUUACAGGAGAUUUGUAGAGGGUUGUCCUUCUCUUUCAGCACCAUUGACAAAGUUGACUCAGAAGGCAAUUAAGUUUCAGUGGAUUGAUGCUUGUGAGUAGAGUUUCCAGGUAUUGAAGGACAGAUUGACUUCAGCACCGGUUCUGACACUUCCAUCCGAUGAUUAUGCUAUCUAUUGUGACAUUUCAGGCGUUGGAUUGGGUUGUGUAUUGAUGCAGCAUGGUAAGGUUGUCGCUUAUGCUUCUAGACAACUAAGAAACCACGAGAAGAAUUACCCGACCCACGAUUUAAAGUUAGUUGCGGUGAUUCAUGCACUAAAGAUGUGGAGGCACUAUUUGUAUGGAAUUCAUGUUGAUAUCUACAUUGGUCGUAAGAGCCUUCAGUAUAUAUUCAAGCAAAAGGAAUUGAAUUUACGUCAGAGGCGAUGGUUGGAGCUACUGAAAGACUAUGAUGUUGAUAUUUUAUACCAUCCAGGGAAGGCGAAUGUAGUAGCCGACGCCCACAGCUGUAGACCUAUGGGUAGCCUAUUAUAUUUAUAGUCAAAGAAGAGUGAGAUAGCUCGUGGGAUUUAUCAGCUAGCUAAUCUUGGAGUUCGAUCACUAGAUUCAGGUGGUACCAGAGUUACUAUUCAAGACACGACAACAUCUUCUCUAGUAACUGAAGUGAAGGAACGCCAGUAUGAAGAUCAUGUGCUAGCUCACUACAGAGAUACAACCCCUCAAAAGGAGAAGACACCAUUUGAGAUUACAGGAAAUGGAGUCCUUAGAUAUCGAGGUGGAUUAUGUGUUCCUAAUGUGGCAGGGUUGCGCCAGCAGGUUAUGGGAGAAGCUCAUUAUUCUCGUUAUUCUAUUUAUCCAGGAGCGACGAAGAUGUAUCCUGACAUCAGGGGAAUAUACUGGUGGGACGGAAUGAAGAAGGAUAUAGCAGAGUUUGUUGCUCAGUGCCCUAAUUGUCAGCAGGUUAAGAUUAAGCAUCAGAAACCCGGUGGAUAAUUAUAGGCUAUAGAGAUUCCGACUUGGAAAUGGGAAGUGAUUAAUAUGGAUUUCAUCAUAGGCUUACCUCGUACCCAACGUAAGUUUGAUUCUAUAUGGGUUAUUAUUGAUAGACUUACAAAAUCAACCCAUUUUCUGCAUGUCAGGACUACGUAUUCAGUAAAGGAUUAUGCAAGGCUUUACAUUAAGGAGAUAUUACGACUUCCUGGUGUCCCUAUAUAUAUUAUCUAAGAUAGAGGUGCUCAGUUUACAGCUAAUUUCUGGAGGUCCUUCCAAAAAGGAUUGGGGACUCAGGUAAGUCUUAGUACAACAUUUUAUCCCCAGACAGACGGUCAGGCUAAGUGUACUAUUCAGUCACUGGAUGAUAUGCUACGGGCUUGUGUGAUGGACUUCAGGGGUAUCUGGGAUGAUCAUCUUCCAUUUAUUUAGUUCGCAAAUAAUAAUAGUUAUCAUUCCAGUAUUCAGAUGGCUCCAUACGAAGCUCUUUACGGACGAAAAUAUAGGUCUCUUAUCGGAUGGUUCGAGAUUGGGAUUCUAAGUUAGUAGGACCAGAGUUGGUACAGCAAGCAGUUCAAAAGAUUAAGCUUAUAAGGGAAAGGCUAUUAGCAGCUCAGAGUCGUCAAAAGUCCUAUACAGAUAAUCGACGACAAGACUUGGAGUUUCCGGUAGACGACUGGGUAUUCUUAAAGGUAUCACCGAUGAAAGGCGUUAUGAGAUUCAGUAAGAAAGGAAAGCUUAGCCCUCGGUACAUUGGACCUUAUAAGAUUAUACGCAGAGUAGGCCAAGUAGCAUAUGGGUUAGACUUGCCUUCCAACUUGGAGUUUGUACAUCCAGUCUUUCAUGUGUCUAUGCUCUGUAAGUGUAUUGGAGAUCCCUCUAAAGUCAUUCUAGUUGAUGAUGUUCAGGUUACAGAGCAGUUAUCAUAUGAGGAAGCUCCCAUUGCUAUACUAGAUAGACAAGCUCGGAGAUUGAGAACUAAGGAUGUAGCUUCGGUUAAAGUAUUCUGGAGAAAUAAUAAUGUGUAGGAGAUGACUUGGGAAGCUGAAGAAGAAAUAAAGACUAGGCAUCCUCACUUGUUUCCGCUUCAAGAGGAGGAUUAGACUAAGACAUCACAACCUUUAGGUACGUAAAUGAUACUUGACUCUUAUGUUAGUUAUUGUUAUUGGUCGUGUUAGGCCAUUGGUGUUAUCGAUGAUUAUGGCCCUAUGUGGCUUUGUAUUGUUGCUGUGUGAAAGGUAGGUAGUAGUACCAUUACAGAGGACACUCUGCCAAAAUUUCUAUAGAUUUCUGGGAGUUUAACAUUCGAGGACGAAUGUUUCUAAGGGGGGAAAAUUGUUACACCCUGUGUGUCCCAAGGUGAUGUAAUAAAUAUGAGACUUUUUGAUCAUGAUUUAAAUGAGUUUAAAGUCAUAAUAUGGAUAUAUAUGAUGUUUCGAUAGAAAAUAUAAGGUUUGGUAAAAAUCGGAUUAAAGUUAUGGAAAAACCGACUAAGGAUUUGCCUUGUAACACAGCUUUUUGAGAAAUAUAUUUCGUGUGCUACAUGGGGACUUUUUGAGACAUAUUAUAUACCAAAUUGAAGAUCUACGAGUCUAGUUUUCAACUCAUUAAAUCGUUUAUCUAUACGACAUCGGAGUAGAGAGAUAUACGUAUUUUUGCGAGACUGCGCAAGCAGCUCGGUUGGGACCCACUUGAGAUGGCCACCGACCUUACGUCUUUUAAAAGAUGUUUCAGCCUCAUUUCGGGUCAUUUCUCAUCCAAAUUUUGUCCAAAAGCUUUCUAAAACCCUUUCUAACAUAUUUCAAAAUCCCAAGAACCAAACUCAAGGGAAAUCAACUCAAAUCAUCAUCAAAGUUGUUAAAGACUACAAGAGAAUGCUUCUAUGAUGUUGUGGUGUGAUUGAGGGCUAUUGUGAGCUAAGUUGAGAUAGGGUUUUGAGUUGUAGAUUCUGUCCAACGUAUGUAUAACAUCUUAUUGAUUGUGCCUAAGGUUAAUCUUGUGUUGGUUGUAUUGUUUGAGUGAAAAACCAUAAGAUAGCACUUGAAAGACAUGGGAUAUGGUUGUCUUUUUGGUUGGACUGUUUUGUGGCUAAAUAUAUGGUUUGUGGUGGCUGGAAAUUGUGAGAAAUAAUUUGAUAAUGUUGUGGCUGCUGUUUUUAAGUUUUUCUAGGUGUUAAUUAAGUUGAUUGAAGAAGAAAAGAUGAAAAACAAGUGAUUGACGAUACAAUUUAAGGUGUUAGACGUAUGGGGCUAUUUUGGAAGGCAUUUUGUGGAUGUUUUGAACUAGAAAUAAUAUAGUACAUAUAAGUAUGAUGUUCUGAAGGUUGUAAACCUAUUUAUGGAAUAAGAGUUGGAUUCAAGUUAUAUCUUGUUAUGAGUAAAAACAAGCUUGCCUCUCAAUAUGAUUGUUAAGAUAAUCGGAGAAACUCAUAUUGGAUUAUAUUGUUGUUGUUGCUAUUAUUGAUUAUAGUUGUUGUUAUUGGGAUGUUGAUGACCUUUAGUGGUCUUUGGGAUGUAUUAAAAACAGGGGACUUGCUGCCCGACUUUCCUUACGCCAUACGACUAGCCAAAUACGAUGAUACAACAUUAUAUGUUAACGGGAAUAUCAUUUCACUUAUUAUAGAUGCAAGAAGUUGUGUUGAGCUUGGUUGAGUAAUAAGGAAGAGAUCAUACAGGUAUGUUAAGGCUAUCCCUUCUUUCCGUUUGGCAUAAUACAUAUGAUACAACUAAACGAGCAAGCACGCCACUUUCACAAAUGAUUCUAUUCUUAGAAGUACUAGGGUUGCCUAUGUUCUUGAUACCCCAUAUGUCCUAUUAUCAUAUCGUCUGUUAAUGGGUCUCAUGACAUUCUGAGAUAUCGUAUUGACUUACUUCAUUAUGUAUUGUAUUCAUUUAUACAUGUACAUUGACCCAUGAUCAUAUGACGUUAUAUACACGUAUAUUAUAUGUAUAUGGGGUAUAAGGAAAGGUUAUGGCAUUAUAUACGCACCACCACCUGAUCAGCUGGUAUACGUUCAUGAUUUUGCCCACAGAGGCCGAGAUGAUAUGAUGGGAUGCCCUCAGAGGCUUAAUGAUGUUAUGUACGCAUAACCUGUGCAUGAUAUGACAUUUAUACGUAUACACGUGACAUUAUAAAUAUUUUCAUGAUUCACGGAGCUAUUCAGACUUACAGGUUGAGUUCUUUACUCCAUAUUUCUUUAACGCCAUUUACAUAUUGAUUUUUAUGCCUUACAUUCUCGGUACACUAUUCGUACUGAUGCUCAUAUUGCUUGGGGGCAUACAUUUCAUGCCCGCAGGUACAUGCAGAUAGGCUGACGGUCCCCCUCUUUAAGAUCCUAGCUCAGCGAGAGCUGGUGUGCUCCAUUUGAUCUAGAGCUGCUAUUGAGUUUUGGUACGAUACUUUUGUAUACAUAUAAGGGUAUGACGGGACCUAGUCCCCUCCUUUAUAUUGUUUUACAGUCUAUUAGAGGUCUGUAGACAGUCAUCUAUAAUUGGAUAGUAUAUGGCCUUGUCGGCUCGACCUACUAUUUUUCGCAUGUAUAUGUAUAUAUAUCUUUUGAGUAUGUCUCCUCACGUAUGUUAUUCACAUGAUUCAACAAUUUUGGGGCAGAUGUUAUGCAUGACCUACACUUAUUUCAUGUUUAUAUCUUAGACGUAUUCUUCGGGGUGUUCGAUAGGUAGAACUCGGACACUCGUCAAAGUCCAUCAUUUUGGGUCGUGACAAAGUUGAUGGUACGAACUUCAUCUCUUGCAACCACUGCUUUUUGAGGAUUAUGUUGUAACCCACAUCGCCAUCUACCUAUUCAAAUAAGGUUGUCUUUAUUACCUCUUUGGCGUUCGUGGGCAGUAUGAUCUCUCUUCGGGUUGUCACACUUGCCAAGUUGAACCCGACAAGCAGUUUUGUUACUGGAAUGAUGCUUCCAGUUAGCUUUGCUUGUUCCAGCACUCUCUAUUGGAUGAUGUUGGCCGAGCUUUUUGGUUCAACCAAAACAGGCUUAAUCUUGAAAUCUAAGACAUUAAGAGAAAUUACCAGGGCAUCGUUAUGCGGUAGAAGAAGUCUGUCGGUGUCUUCCUACGUGAAGGUGAUAUUGUCUUCUGCGACUUCCCGAAGUCUCUUGUUAUGGGUCACUGAUAUCUUUGUUUUCUUGGUCGCUGAGAAGGUUACACCAUUGAUUUCGUUCCCUCAGAAAAUCAUAUUGACAGACAAUCGAGAAGGGUCUUCUCCUAUCUUCGAGGGCUCUGCAUUGUCUCAGCUAUAGCUAUAAUUGUUCUUGGCUCGGUCGCUCAAGAACUCACUGAUAUAUCUGUUCUUCAACAAAGUAGUCACCCCUUCACGCAGAUGUCGACAAUCCCCAGUUCUGUGGCCAUGAGUCCCAUAAUAUUCGUACCAAUAGUUAGGAUUCCUUUAGAUGGGAUCGGAUUUGAUUGGCUUUGGGAAUCGUGCUUCUUUGAUGUUCCUCAUCGCCGAUACCAACUUCACUACACCGAUGUUGAAAUUGUAAUCUAACAACCUGGGAUAUGUGGAAUCCUGGGUUCCUGGUACCUCUUUUGCUUGCAAUGAUCUGUUGUUCCAACCACAGUCAGUUCUUCUAUUUGGAGCGAAUCUAUCCGAGGACCGAAACCCUUUGCUGUCUGUCCUUCGAUUCUCUCGUAUAGCAAGAAGCGGCCUUUAGAAGAUCGCGGUCUACAUCAAAAUCACCUUUAAACUUAUCCUGAUUCUUGUCUCGGUCCCGCACCUUGAUUGGUGUCGGGAACCCGAGAUGAUCAUCUUUUAUCCUUAUUUUUGACUCAUAGCAGUUAUGAACUUCCGUCCAUGUGGUCGCUUGAAAUUCGAGAAGGCUUUCCUCUAACUUUUGGGAAGCGUCGGAGCUCCUCGGAUUCAAAUCCUUUAUGAACACCUUUGUUGUCCAUUCGUCUGGUACGAUCGAUAGCAGCAUACUCUCCUUCUGAAAUCUGAUCACGAAUUCCCACAACAAUUAGGACUCACUUUGUGAGAUCCUAAAUAUGUCCGCCUUCCUAGCUUGGACCUUUCUGGCCCCAUCACGGGCCUUAAUGAAGGAAUCUGCAAGCAUCUCAAAAGAGUCGAUUGAAUGUUCGGGUAAUAGUGAAUACCAUGUCAAGGCCCUAUUUGUGAGGGUUUCUCCAAACUUCUUCAGCAGAACCGAAUCGAUCUCAUGUUGAGCCAAAUCAUUCCCUUUCAUAUCCGUUGUAUAAGUUGUGAUGUGCUCCUGAGAGUCCGAAGUCCCAUCGUAUUUUGGUAUGUCCGGCAUCUUGAACCUCUUAGGAAUUAACUAUGGUGGUGCCCCAGUUUAAAUGGCAACUAGGUAUAUUUUUUUGAAUCCGGGCCCUUCAAAACUGGCAGUGCGUUUGCAAUCUGAUCCAUUCGGGCGUGAAUUCUUUUGUAUUUUGAAGCUUGAUUUUGAAGGGAUAAUUACCGUUAUCGUUAUCGGAUCUGCUACCAGUCCCCCCGGCACCGUCUAAACCGACCUCACCCCUCAGGUUAUUGUUACCAACUCUUUGAGCCAUCUGAUUUGCAGGAACGCCGAGAGGAACCGAACCCCUUUCGUUUGCGUUGUUGGAAGCAUAUGACAACACCUGUUUCAAUUUGUACAUGACCUUAUCCUGCCUUGAGAGGUGGCACAUGAUGGCUUUCUGUUGCCCUCUUAUGAUUAUUACUAUUUUUGUAACAUGUUCAUCUUCCGCAUCAUCAAGAGUUGGCUCCCGUACAUAUCGGGGGUACUGUCCUCCACGGACCGGGGUUGCCUCAUCCUUCUCGCUGCGGGUAUCACUAAUUGAAUCCUCAUGUUGAGGUAGAUUUUCAUGUCCCUCAAUGUUGUGUGCGAUGUAAUAAGUGGGGAUUUUGACUACUAAUUGGCACCUUUUUGCUUUUGUUUUAGUCCGAAAGUAUUGAUGUAUGUUCCUGAAACUAAUGAAAGUGUGAAAAUUGCAGGAAUGUUGGACGUUUGAUCUCCCAUGAUGAAUUCAGACACCAAAAAGAGUGUUCCAAAUAACAAGGCAAGAAAGGACGCAGAACUAAAGAAGUGCGAUCCGCAAAACGAUUUCUGAUGCCAUGUAAGAAAGUGCGGACUGCAGAAUUUCAUAUACGGUCACAAAUCAAGUGAAAUAGCCCAACAUGAAUUUGGCCAAUGUGUGGACCACACAUGAAUUGUGCGACCGCAGAACCAGGUCUGCACUGACAAAUGAUUCAAAGUUCAGAGAGUGUGCAAAAGACCAAGUCCUGAAGCCUUGGUGAAGUGCAGACCGCACAAGAAUUAUGCGGCCGCAGAAGGUGCCUCGCAGCCGCAGCAGAAUCCAAGAUCUUGAAAAUGAAGAAAUCUGUGGACCACACAUGGAAUUGUGCGGCCGCAGAACCUCCCGAGAGGCAUUUUUGUCAGCAAAUUCCAUGUCACUAUAAAUAGAUGAGUUUCAUAUUUUUUAGGUCAAGUUUCGAAGUUUGAGGUGCUGUUGCCGUUACAUUUUUCCAUUUUAGGAAGUUUGUGACUAUUUUAGUAUUUAAACAUUAUAUUUUAUCAUUUUAAUCUUAGAUUAUGGGUUUAAUUAGCAUUUCUUCUUUAUUUUCUUCAAUUUCCACUAUGAGUAGCUAGAUUCUUACUAGGGUUAUGACCCAACCCUAGUGUGUAAACUUUAUGGGUAUUUAAUUUAAUGUUUUUUAUGAUUGGGUGUCGAUUAUUUAGCUUAGUUUAUGCUUUAAUUUUAGAAUUAAUGGUUACAAAUAUUAAUUCAUGCAUUUUUUACUUAGUCUCUACUUGAGAAAGAGGGACCUAGUCUAGGAUAACUUGGCUAACAAGGAAUUUGGCUAAUUGAAGAUUUGAUUAGCCUAAUUAAAGGGUUCAAACUAGAGAUAGUAAGAACCCCACUUGAGCUCAUAUCAACUAUUUUGUUUGAUACCCAUUUGGACUUGAGAAAGCCAAAUUGGGCAAAAUCACUCUUUGAGCGAGAGGUAUUGAGUGGAUAACGUAGAGUUGAGAGCUAUAAUACACCCCAAUCAACAAAACAAGUAUUAAUGUAUUUAACCCAUUGGGCGAACACCUAGGUUAUGGUCAUAUCCCUAGACUUUUUAACUAUUUGGAAAAAUACCAAAAAGAAUCAUUUGCUUCUAGUUUCUUGUCUUAACUUAUAAUUGUUAGAGUAAAAUUAGAUUUAGAAAUCAAAACCUUUUGUGGAAGUGCAAUUUAGCUAUUCCUUUCGCUUUCGUCAAGUGUAUACUACUAACACCCUUAGUAACUCCCUGUGGAAAUCGACCCCGACUCUUGUUGGGUGCUAUUCUUCCAACGACCGUUUCCACUUACUAUUGAGUGCGGAUUGGAUGUGAAUCAAUUUUGGGCGCCGUUCCCGGGGAGUUAAAACGGUGAUAGCUAUAUAUUUGUGUUUAUUUUUGGAAUAUCGUAUUUUCCUUCCGUGUUACUAACUUGUGUGAGAAAUCUCAGGUACACCCAUGGAGAACAAUGAGCUCGACAAUUUGCCUUUGGGGGAUUUGGAUGCAGAGGACGAGCAAGUAGAGGAGGUACCUCAUGAGCCACAAGCCAAUCAUAGAGGCCGGGUACCUCAUGAAAAUGUGCCUGUUCCACCCCCACAUCCACAACGAGCGUCUCCACACCGGAUAUUGCGCAACGAAGGUUAUGCUAGUGUAAUAGUCCCAACCUGUAUUAGGAGUGGCAAUUUCCAAAUCACCAAUAUGAUGCUCACUUUGCUUGAGCUAUGAGAAUUCUUCACCGGUGCUCCAACACAAAAUGCUUAUAAACAUUUGAAGGGGUUUGUGGACACUUGUUGGGGGAGCAAGCAAACAAAUGUCUCCGAGGAUGCAUUGAGGCUAAGGCUUUUUCCCUUCUCUCUAUGGGGGAAACCUUUAGAUUGGUUGGAACGAUUGCCGAACUAUUCAAUUCACACUUGGGAUGAGUUGGCGGAAAAGUUCAUUGCUAAGUUCUUCUCUCCCGGACACAUGGCUACUUCGAGAUGAGAUCUUGGCAUUCAAGCAAGAGCCGAAUGAACCACUGCAUGAGAUAUGGGAACGCUAUAGAACUAUGGUCAAGGAAUGUCCCAAUAACGAUAUGACAAAAAACAUGAUUCAACAAACCUUCUAUCGUGGGAUUAACACGACCAACCAAUGUGUAGUGAAUCAAUUAGCUGGUGGGAAAUUUAUGACUACGCCUUAUGCAGAGGCAUGUGAGAUUUUGGAUGAGAUGGUGGACACGUCGUCGACUUGGCAAUCCAGGGCCAAUGUUCCACAAGGUGACCCGAAUAUGAUCCACCUUCAUAAAGAAUUGCAAGACCACGGGCAAGCCAUUGUCGAAUUGACAACCAUCAUGACUCAACUAGCAAAGGCCCAACUAAAUCAAGUGCAAACUCCGAAGAAAGUCAAUGCUAUGGAAGGAGUGAACAUGAUAGUGAACAAGAGGAGGACCAAGGGUCCACAAGUGCAAAAUUGAGUGGAGAACUAUGUGCAAGAAGAUGGUAGUUUUGAGCAAGAAGAUUCCUAUAAUGAACAAGAAGAAGAAGUGCAAUAUGUGAAUAAUUUUCAAGGGCAAAAAAACAAUUUCCAAGGCCCGAGCCAACAAUAAUGGCGACCUCAAAACAAUCAAGGCAAUUGAAAUUCUAACAAUCAAAGAAAUUGGAGUGGAGGAAAAAAUUAAGGGAAUUCGCAUAACAACAACAAUUAAGAAAAAUAGAGUGGAAAAAACCAAGGAAAUUGGGGAGGUAACAAUCAAGGCGGAUGAAACAACAAUCAAGGAAACCGGGGGUCGGGUUUUCAGAGGCCCCCAAUGUACCAACAACCAAGCAACCCACCUCCUUAUCCUUCCCAUGGUUCGAGUUCUUCAAAUAAUAAGAUGGGGCAUAUUAAAAAUAUGUUCAAGCAAAUGAUGUAAAAUAAUGCCGAUUCGGAUGUCCAACUUGCCUCACACAACACAUCAAUCCGCAAUCUAGAAGUCCAAAUGAGGGCAAAUCUCUCAAGCCUUAAAUUCUCGUCCUAAGGGGGCACUACCGAGUGACACAGUGGUAAACCCAAAGGGUAAUAACAACACGGGGCAUGUCAUGGCAGUUAUCAUAAGAAGUGGAAGAGGCGGGAAUGCACCCACCUCAAGUGGAAGGCAACUUGAUGAUGAUCAAGUGAUGUAAGAGAAAGAGAUCCCGAACAAUGUGGUGCAACCUAAUGAUGAAUUUCGGAUUGAUAUUGAUAAUAGUGUGGAAGAGACUCAAGAGGAGGUGAACCCGUCUAAUAAACACAUUAUUAACAUACCAGAGCCGGUAGUGCAAAAGGCUAAGGCACCAUUGCCUAAACAUCCACCUCCAUACCCUCAAAGACUUGCCAAGAAAAAUGGUGAGAAUUAAUUCAAGAAGUUCAUUCAAAUGAUAAAGAGUCUCUCAAUCAAUGUGCCAUUAGUUGAAGCUUUGGAACAAGUGCCUGGUUAUGUAAAGUUUAUGAAGGAUCUUGUGACAAAGAAGCAGUCAAUAAACUUUGAGACCAUCAAAGUCACUCAUCAAGUAAGUGCAAUUAUGCAUUCAGUGUCGCCUAAGUUGGAGGAUCCUGGUGCUUUCAUGAUUCCUUGUACAAUUGGAAGUGCCGAGUUUGCUAAAGCUCUUUGUGAUUUUGGGGCAAGUAUCAACUUGAUGCCCUAUUCAGUUUGCAAGACCUUGGGAAUUGGGCAACCAAGACCCACCUCUAAGAGAUUGCAAAUGGCCGAUCGUGCCAUGAAGAGGCCCUUGGGAGUGAUUGAAGAUGCAUUGGUUCGUGUUGAUAAAUUCAUUCUUCAGCGAAUUUUGUCAUUCUAGAUUGUGAGGAUGAUUAUAAAGUGCCGAUUAUUAUUGGGAGACCUUUCCUUGCUAUGGGUAAGGCCCUUUGUGAUGUUGAAGCCGAUGAACUCACUUUCUGGGUUGGUGAUGAAAAAGUGGUAUUCCAUGUGUGUAAGUCCAUGCGGCAAACAAAUAGCAAUGAGGUAUGUUCUUUUGUGGACUUGGUGAUCGAUGUUAUUAUUGAUGAAACAAAUGCUACAAUCAAUGUUGGUGAUAUGUUGGAGGUCGUCUUGCUCAACUUUGAUAAUGAUGAGAUGCAUGGCUUCAUGGAAUGGGUGAACUCUUUGCAAGGAAUGAGGUCGUACACCUAUGAAUCCCGAAAAUUGUCCUUGGAUCUUGAGAAUAGGACAACUCCUCCGACAAAGCUUUCUAUUGAAGAGCUUCCUACCUUGGAGUUGAAGCCAUUGCCUCCACAUCUUCGGUAUGAAUUUCUUGGUCCUUGUUCUACUUUACUGGUUAUUCUUUACUUUUGUUUGACUAAUAUGCAGGUAGAUUCCAUAUUGGCGGUGCUACAAAAGAGGAAGAAGGCUAUUGGGUGGACCUUGGCGGAUAUUCAGGGAAAGCUCCUCCUUUUGCAUGCAUAAGAUCAAGUUGGAGGAUAGCGCCAAACCAUCUAUUGAACAUCAAAGAAUACUCAAUGAGGCUAUGUAAGCAGGAUAUUAUCAAGUGGUUGGAUACCAGAUUUGUCUACCCCAUCUUUGAUAGUUCGUGAACAUCUCCGGUUCAAUGUGUCCCAAAUAAGGGCGUCAUGACGGUGGUCACCAAUAACAAUAAUGAGUUGAUUCCUACAAGAACGGUGACCGGUUGGAGGGUGUAUAUGGACUAUCGCAAGCUCAACAAAGUCAUAAGAAAUGAUCACUUUCCAUUUCCUUUCUUAGAUCAAAUGCUCGAUAGAUUGGCCGGUCGUGCUUUCUACUGUUUUCUUGAUGGGUACUCGGGCUACAACCAAAUUCUCAUUGCUCCGGAAGAUAAAGAGAAAACAACCUUUACAUAUCCCUAUGGUACUUUUGCUUUCAAGCGGAUGCCAUUUGGGUUGUGCAAUGCACCAACGACUUUUCAAUGUGUAUGAUGGUUAUUUUCACGGACAUGAUGGAGGACUACCUUGAAGUUUUUAUGGAUGACUUCUCGAUGGUUGAAGAUUCUUUUGAUUAUUGUCUUGGAAAUUUGGACAAAGUGUUGGCUAGAUUUGAAAAAACAAAUUUGAUGCUAAAUUGGGAAAAAAAUCAUUUCAUGGUCGAGGAAGGCAUUGUCCUAGCCACAAAAUCUUAAGGAAUGUAAUUGAAGUUGACAAGGCAAAGAUUGAGGUAAUUUCUAAGCUUCCACCUCCAACUUCGGUGAAGGGUGUGCGGAGUUUCUUAGGCCACACGGGAUUUUACCGGCGCUUCAUCAAAGACUACUAUAAGGUGGUGAACCCCGUCGUGCAAGCUUCUUGAGAAGGAUGCUAUGUUUAACUUCAAUGAUGAUUGCAUGAGAGCUUUUGAAUUGUCGAAGCUCAAGUUGACACCUACUCCAAUCAUCACCGCUCCAAAAUAGAGUGUACAUUUUGAACUCAUGUGUGAUGCAAGUGAUGUAGCGGUUUGGGAUCUUUUGGGGCAACGCAUCGACAAAAAUUUUCACCCCAUCUACUAUGCUAGUAAGACCAUGAAUAAUGCCCAAGUCAGCUAUACUGUUAUGGAGAAAUAGCUCCUUGCCAUUGUGUUUGCAAUUGAGAAGUUCCGCCCGUACUUGAUGGGUGAAAAAGUCAUUGUCCAUACGGAUCAUGCGACACUUCAUUAUCUUAUGAGCAAAAAGGAUUCCAAAGCUCACCUUUUUCGGAUUUGUAUGGAUGGGGUGAUUAGAAGAUGUGUACCAGAAGAAGAGCAAGAUAAAAUUCUUGGGGCUUGUCAUUCUUCGCCAUAUGGUGGUCAUCAUGAUGGAGCAAGAACGGCGGCCAAAGUGCUUAGUUGCGGUUUCUAUUUGCCUACUCUUUAUAAAGAUGCUAGUGAGUUAGUGAAAAGAUGUGAUGAAUGUCAACGAGGCGGUAGAAUCUCAAAAAACAAUGAAAUGCCUCUUACAACCAUUCUGGAAAUUGAUAUUUUUGAUGUGUGGGGUAUUGACUUCAUGGGCCCUUUUGUGAGUUCUUGUGAAAACACCUACAUCUUGGUCACAGUGGAUUAUGUGUCCAAAUGGGUUGAGGCCGUUUCUUUACCCAACAAUGAGGCGAGAAGUGUGGUGGCCUUCUUGAAGAAGAAUAUUUUCACAAGGUUUGGUACUCCACGUGCAAUUAUAAGCGAUGUGGGGUCACAUUUUUGCAAUAAGGCUUUCGACACUUUACUUAGCAAGUAUGGUGUCACUCAUAAAGUCAUGACUCACUAUCACCCACAAGCUAGUGUGCAAGUAGAAGUAUCCAACCGGGAGAUAAAAAGUAUCUUGUCCCAAACAGUGAAUGUUAAUCGGACGGAUUAGUCCAAUAAGCUUAAUGAUGCAUUAUGGGCUUAUCGGACGACUUACAAAACACCUAUUGGAAUGUCGCCAUAUCAGUUGGUGUUCGGGAAAGCUUGUCAUCUUCCGGUGGAACUAGAGCACAAGGCCAUCUGGGCUCUAAAGAAGUUGAAUCUUCAUUAGGAUAUAGCUGCUAACUUGAGGGUUGCGCACUUGAAUGAAUUGGAUGAGUUCUGGUACCAUGCCUAUGUGAGUUUGUCCUUGUACAAAGAAAAGAUGAAAUAUCUUCAUGACAAAUACACUUAGAACAAAGAGUUCAAGGUAGGCGAUCUUGUAUUGUUGUUUAACUCGAUGUUGAGGGAGUUUCCAGGGAAGCUAAAAUCCAAAUGGAGUGGUCAUUUUGAAAUUGUGGGUGUGACACAUUUUGGUGCAUUAGACUUGAAGAACAAAAUAAUGAAGUAUUCCGAGACAAUGGUCGCCGGGUGAAGCACUACUUGGGAAAUGUUGGAUAUAGCCACUUUGUGGUGGUCAUUCAUUUCACUUGAGGGUAUUCUGCGUCAUGCUGCGAUAUUAAAUCAGUCACUUCUUGGGAGGCAACCUAUGUUUCUUUUCUUAUUCUUUUGUAGUUAGGUGUUAUUUUUGUUCUAACUUGAUUCGAAGUGUGCUACAGGGGUGAGCGUGACUUACAAGAAUUGUGAAGAAAAAUAUGGCUAAGUGUUCAAGAGAGUGCGGACCGCACUUUAUUUGUGCGGACCACACAUUUUCAUGUGCCAUAGCCGAUGAGCAUUGUGGCCGCACAUUUAUCUUGCGGACCGCAGAAUUGAAAUGUCAAAAAUACCAACUCUCUGAAGUUUAAGCUUAUCAGUGCGGAGGUCGAUCUGCGGCUGCACCCAAAAAUAUGCGAAUCGUAGAUUGGUUUCUAAGAAUACUCGCCCAGGUUAAAGAGUGCAGACCGCACUCAUCUAUGAUCCUUUCUCCUUUUGAACGACAUAAAUAGAGCAAUAUUGCUCAUUUUACUCUUUUCCCACUUUGAACAAACAUUGUUGCCCUGCUAAGUUUUCUUGGAGAUUUCAAUUGUCCAUUCACACAGUCACCUAGAUUACUUACACAGUGUAUUCACACUAUCUGGUAUGCUUCACUUUCAUAUUAAUUUUUUAAGUUAGUUUAAUUUGUAGAUUUGUUUUAGUUCUUUUUAGAUCAUAUGUUAUUAGAGUUCCAUUCUGCGUUCAUGUAGGGUAGAUCUGAACUGGGUUAACUUGAUACAUGCUCUAGGGGGACUGGGUUAGUGAAAUUUCAUGCUUUUCAAUGUUGCCAUGCCUAUUUGUGCGAGAAAUUGAAAAAAUCUUAGAAUAAAAAAGUGUCUAUUCGUAAUUUUUGAAUUAUGCGGCCGCAAUUGAAUUGUGCGGUCCGCAAAAAUGUAUUUUUAAACACUUAUGUGAGGCAGGAAUCUGCGGCCGCAGGUCAGAUUGUGCGGACCUCAUAUUUCCUCUUGCGGCCGCAAAUUAGGCCUUUACCUGUCAUCAGAGAGUCUUCACUUUUGAGACUCCAAGAUGCGGCCUCAGGUCAAAUUGUGCGGACUGCAGAUUUCCUCUUGCGGCCGCAAAUUGACCAAUUCUAUGUCAUCAAAAAUUUCACAUUUUUGGGGACUCAAUAGUGUAGCCGCAAUCUCAAAUGUGCGGACCGCACUUCCCAUCCUUGAUCGCAAGGCUAAUUGUGUAGACCGUAGGUCCCUUAUCAUGCAUGCAUGACUUAACGGUACAACCCCAUUGUGUCCUAUGGUUUCUCCCUUACCCACAUGUCUCCUGUAUGUGUUUGAAAAUUGAAUUGCAACUAACAAUCUCCUCUGCUUGAUACAGAUAAUGGUUUGAUCAAGAGGAUGAGGAUACACUUCAAAAGGGAGAGGUGAAUCUUCUCGGGGUCGAGGCAAAAAUGCCUUACCCCUCGUUCAAACCAAGACAAUAAGAAAGAAGACAACAACCGGAAGAGGGAGAGGUGCAUACCUCUUCGAGUCUAGCUCCUACGGCCCGUAUAGGGAAGUGUCAGAGGGAAAUUUAGCCUCUAUUCAGGAGGAGUAGACGGCCACACAGUCAAGGCCACAAGGGAGAUACCAGCUCAGGGACGAGCCAUCGCCAUCUCACAGUACCUCCGAGGGGUCGGAGAGUGCUAGACAGGCUUCUGAGCCAUCGGCUGCACUAGUCCUUGAGGCCCCUAUUAUACAUGACAUCCCCGAUGAUGGCAGAGGGGGUGAUUCUACAGCUCCAGGACUUGAAUGAUCAAAGAAGAAAGAGGUUUGGGUGGAUCGAUUUGUCAGUCUGGUCGCCUUUAGCAGUUUCCAUAUGUGGUGGCCAGUGAGGUCGCUAACUCUAGAGCGACAGUUUUUGUUGAAGGACUUGGAGAAAUAUAACCCAUCUCUACUGAGACAGUUCAGGGUACGAAAGAGGUGGAUGUGGUUCACCGAGAGGGUAGAGGAUGCCAAAGAAUACCUCGUUCAUGAAUUUUAUGCCAAUGUUGCUCAUAUCAAGAAAGGGACGAGGGUGACCAAAGUGCACAACCUCAAGGUGAGGUUUUAUCAGAAUACGCUAAAUGUGUAUUUGGGCUUUAAGGAUGUUAAGCCGAAAGAAUAUCUAGCAAAAUGCACACUGAAGGAUGAAGUUCGACCUUUGUUGGCUGAGAUUCUAGCACCACUAGGGCCACCACUAUUAUGGAUCGCUACUGGGGUUCCCAUUCACCGAAAAACUCUGAGUUUUGAGGCAAAGCGGUGGCAAACCUUUGUUUGCAGCAGAAUGGAUCCGAGCCAGAACGAGACUCACUUUCUAUCUCUCGGGCAGUUCUUGUGGCUUCCAUCAUAGCCGGUUACCCAAUCAAUGUGGGUGUCGUGAUGUCAGCCAACAUUUCAGUGAUUGCACGAUAGGACAGCUCGACCUACCCCUAUCCCAACACUAUCACAGAGUAUCUCACCGAGCCGAGGGAUUUUGACACCAAGGUGAAGGCAAAGAAGCCCUUCGAUUGGUAUUCUCUGAUGGAUGCGAGCAACCCAAAGAAGAAAGUUUAGCAUUCUACCACCACAAGCCAGUCUUAUGAGCCAACAGUGGUAGCUUCUAAGGUAGCUAAUCUUCAAUCCACUUCUGCCGAGCCAUCUACCAGUGCCACUGCUAUGCCUCCACAUCAUCUUCAGCUCCUACCACAACCCAUAGAGUUGCUCUAAAGUAGUGCCCAAGCCCACAAUUCCCCUAUCUGCUAUGUGAGUCUCCCAGACAUUGGCGAGUCUCAACAACUGAAUGCAGAUAGAUAUUUUUAAACUGUUUGACCUAUUUAGUACUGUUGCAGCACAGUCCACUUCUUAGGCACCACAGACUCCUUCUGAUAUUGAAGGAGAUUUUGGAGAACUAGAAGACGAUCAUGGAUACCUUGAUACAACACAGGUCAGUGAUUGAGGAUAUGGGAAAGGAAGUAAAGAAGAUGAGGAAGUCCCAAGUGAGCAAAAAAUCAGUGGACAAGCUCUAGAGGGAGGUGACUAGACUUGCUACAGCUGGCGACUUUCCUUUUGACAUGCUGCUUGACCCACACCAGUCCACCCCAGAUCUUUCAACACCAUCUGUACCAGUAGCACCAGCUGGCCAGUUUGACGAGCCAGACCUUGCUGCCGACACUGCUGAGGCAGUGUGUGAGAUGUUCGCCAACUCAGCCAUACCUAGAUUUGAUGAUGAUGAGAUUCAGUUGGCUGGCCCUGAGGGAGAUGACAUUGCUGGGGACACUGAGAUGUCCAAGGAUCCAUAUGGAGUUUUCUUUACCCUCUCCUUUUUUACUCUUAUUUUGUUAAGCAUUGGGGACAAUGCUUGCUUUUAUUCAAGUGGGGGUGGAGUUUUUCUGACACACUGGUACACUUUGAUACAUUUGAUUUGUAAUAAUUUGAUGAUACUCUUUCUCUUCUUAUUUGUAUUUAUCUAGCUUCUCUCUAUUCUCUUAUGUAUAUUUAUCUCUCUUUAGUAUUUUUUACUUAUUAGUUUCUUUAUUUUUUUUCUAUAUUAACUCCUGUUUUGUUAAGUAGCUUAUUUUAUGCUUUAGUAGAUAAUAAGCAUUUGGUUUUNNNNNNNNNNNNNNNNNNNNNNNNNNNNNNNNNNNNNNNNNNNNNNNNNNNNNNNNNNN